rnacentral:rRNA from 1 species
GAUGAACGCUAGCUACAGGCUUAACACAUGCAAGUCGAGGGACCGGCGCACGGGUGAGUAACACGUAUCCAACCUGCCCUUUACUCGGGGAUAGCCUUUCGAAAGAAAGAUUAAUACCCGAUAUAAAGGAUGGGGAUGCGUUCCAUUAGGUUGUUGGUGAGGUAACGGCCCACCAAGCCUUCGAUGGAUAGGGGUUCUGAGAGGAAAGGCCCCAACAAUGGAAACGGGAAACAGUCCAAACUUCUAACGGAGGGAGGAGGGAGGAAUAAUGGUCAAAGGGCCGUAGCCUGAAACAGCCCAGUAGCGGGAAGGAUGAAGGCUUAUGGGGCGUAAACUUCUUUUUAAAAAGAAGAUGUAUUAAAAGAAUAAGGAUCGGCUAACUUCGUGCCAGCAGCCGGGGUAAUAC